rnacentral:hammerhead_ribozyme from 1 species
GUACUGAUGAAGAGCCCCAAAGUAGGACGAAACAGCUGUCCAGUAU